rnacentral:rRNA from 1 species
UGGGGGAUAUUGCACAAUGGGGGGAACCCUGAUGCAGCGACGCCGCGUGGGUGAGGAAGUACCCCGGUAUGUAAAGCUCUAUCAGCAGGGAAGAAAAUGACGGUACCUGACUAAGAAGCACCGGCUAAAUACGUGCCAGCAGCCGCGGUAAUACGUAUGGUGCAAGCGUUAUCCGGAUUUACUGGGUGUAAAGGGAGCGUAGACGGCAGCGCAAGUCUGGAGUGAAAUGCCGGGGCCCAACCCCGGAACUGCUUUGGAAACUGUGCAGCUCGAGUGCAGGAGAGGUAAGCGGAAUUCCUAGUGUAGCGGUGAAAUGCGUAGAUAUUAGGAGGAACACCAGUGGCGAAGGCGGCUUACUGGACUGUAACUGACGUUGAGGCUCGAAAGCGUGGGGAGCAAACAGG